AAGGCACUAAAGACCAAAUGGGUUCAUCUUCCUUGUCAAAAGAAUCUGCAUACAGGUUAUUCCCAGCUUCACCUAGAUUUAUGAACUUCAAAGUGUCUACCAAGCUAUCUUGGGUAAUUGAAACAUGGAACAGCCUAGAUUCAAAUCCUCUUACAUAGUCCAUGCGCAGAAACUUGGGGUUUUGCAAGAUUUUGAAAAAUAAAGAUAGCAUAUGUUUCUUGAAUGAUUUUCUCAAGUCCCUCCUAAUAUGUGAGUGGUUCCUUACCAAGGCAUAAAGAGUUGAUGCAUUCUUUUUUAUCAUCCUAGUUCUAAAAGGCUUAUCUGGAGUUUUGGGUAGGUAUGAUGGUGGAACUUACUUACUCUGCAUAUGUUGUCGAGUCAAACCUAGGACCAUACCGGAGGGAGUGCGCCAUACCCUUAGAUCAGAAUGUGCAAGUGUGUGGAAUUUUUGGUGGAAUCCUAUCACUACUUUUAUUGCAACAUUCCUUGCAUCAAGACUCUCUUUUGAAAUGAGAUGAAAAAAUUGAGAGGAUAUGGGCUAUAACACAAUUUUUUUUUUAUUUUUUUGGUCGGGUAUGAAUCUUUCCCCGUUUUUCCCCUUUGGCUUUUUCUCAAAAUAAUUAUAUAUAUAUAGCCCAUUCCUAUGAUUCUGAUGAAAAUGAAAGAGAGCUUUAUGAUAACAAAUGCAAGGAAUGUAUAUAAAUACACAAUUCUCAGGGUGAGAUAUUGGCAUUUUUAUUUGGUGGAUAUAUGUGCGCAACCCUCCGUGUAAGAGUUGGCGAGAUUUUGGGUGGAUGGAGAAAGAAUGUUGUGCGCGACUUCUCAGUGUGAGAGUCGGCUUUUAUAUGGUGGGUGCAAGUGAGUUCUGAUCUUAGAGGCAUCAAACAUCUCUCGACAGCGGUCCAAAAAUUUGACCAAACUCAACACAGAGCAAGCAGCAUAUGUAGAAGGUUUAAUCAUGAACAAAUAUUUGGCCAUGGUAGGAAUAAAGCUUGAUCAUUCAAGAAACUUGCUAUUGAAUUUUGCUUUUUAUAAAAGAAAACCGAAGUACUUUGCAAGAAUCAGCAAGCAUCAUGUCAUCCUACUAUAUCACAUACGUAAAUUACUUAGAUAAAAUGGGGUUCCUAUAACAAGUGUUCAUAAAUCUCUAGGGAUAUUAGCUAAGAAUAAAAGGUAUGCAAAAACAUAUUUGAACAUAGGAGACAUGUUCGAUGGAGUACAAAGGUAACAUCAUUUUAAACAUUUCAUUUGAAAAUCUUUUUGGGGGAAGAGGCUUUGCACAAACCGAGAUUUUGGAUUGAAUAAUCCUUCCCUCACACUUGUUUUCUUUCCUGUCAUGGUUAGUCACGAUAUAUAUAGAAAACAAGUGCACAAGAUAAACAAACUUUUUUUAUUGAUAACUUUGAAUAGGCA
rnacentral:lncRNA from 1 species